GAUGAACGCUGGCGGCGUGCCUAAUACAUGCAAGUCGAGCGGACAGACGAGGAGCUUGCUCCUCUGACGUUAGCGGCGGACGGGUGAGUAACACGUGGAUAACCUACCUAUAAGACUGGGAUAACUUCGGGAAACCGGAGCUAAUACCGGAUAACAUGUUGAACCGCAUGGUUCAACAGUGAAAGACGGUCUUGCUGUCACUUAUAGAUGGAUCCGCGCCGCAUUAGCUAGUUGGUAAGGUAACGGCUUACCAAGGCAACGAUGCGUAGCCGACCUGAGAGGGUGAUCGGCCACACUGGAACUGAGACACGGUCCAGACUCCUACGGGAGGCAGCAGUAGGGAAUCUUCCGCAAUGGGCGAAAGCCUGACGGAGCAACGCCGCGUGAGUGAAGAAGGUCUUCGGAUCGUAAAACUCUGUUAUUAGGGAAGAACAAAUGUGUAAGUAACUAUGCACGUCUUGACGGUACCUAAUCAGAAAGCCACGGCUAACUACGUG
rnacentral:rRNA from 1 species